GUGCAUGCUGUAUGUUGUAAAAUGGCAACGUUUCGCCUUUUAUCAUGUUUAUUAAAAUGUAUGCUCCAUAUGUAUGUUCUCUCUCUAUAUAUAAAUGAAUACUUUUCGGAAUUAAAAAAAAAUAUUUUUAACCCCGCUCAAAUUAUCCGGAUGAUAAUAGUUACACCGAGCAUGGUUUCGUAGUUAAAUUCAGACUGUAGAACAUCCGGUUUGAAUACAUGUGUUUUCUGACUUUUCGGAUAGCCAACUCUUGUUUUCUGGAACUUACGACUUAUGGCAAGAGAGAAGAAAACUGUGACGUUAAAAGAAAACCAGUGAGAUAAAAUCAUAGAAAAUGCAUGAUGAUUCAGGAUGUGGUCAUUUGUGACAUUAAAACAGGAAUUGUCAUCACCAAUAGACUAAUUUCACUUUCCUAAGAGUUUUCUCCAAUUGUCGGCGUAUCGCUCAUUUUUCCCACUUUGUCUUUUGUCCUGUUCUGUGGAUGCCCUAAGACAGUGUCUACCCAUCACUCCAUCUGAUAUCACUUGUUCUGAGCAUAUUUCUCUCUCAAACUUAAACUACAGAGAGCCUGUGGAUAGAGGAUGAAGAGUGACCUUGGACUAAUUUUCUAGGUCAAAGAUCAUAGGUGAUGUGAAGAGAACCAGGAAACUGAUGUUGAAAGAAGUACUUAAUGACCCUUAUGAAUGGACUUAAAUGUGAAAGACUGUUCAAUUGUUUAUCUAAGAUAUAUGAAUUUAUUUAAUAUUUUGAUAUCAUUGAAAAAUUCAGUUACAGUUUUUGUACAUCAAAUGAAUUAU